UUGCCAGACUCCUACGGGAGGCAGCAGUGGGGAAUAUUGCACAAUGGGGGAAACCCUGAUGCAGCGACGCCGCGUGAGUGAAGAAGUAUUUCGGUAUGUAAAGCUCUAUCAGCAGGGAAGAAAAUGACGGUACCUGGCUAAGAAGCCCCGGCUAACUACGUGCCAGCAGCCGCGGUAAUACGUAGGGGGCAAGCGUUAUCCGGAUUUACUGGGUGUAAAGGGAGCGUAGACGGCCAGACAAGUCAGAAGUGAAAGCCCAGGGCUCAACUCUGGGACUGCUUUUGAAACUGCCGGGCUGGAGUGCAGGAGAGGUAAGCGGAAUUCCUAGUGUAGCGGUGAGAUGCGUAGAUAUUAGGAGGAACACCAGUGGCGAAGGCGGCUUACUGGACUGUAACUGACGUUGAGGCUCGAAAGCGUGGGGAGCAAACAGGAUUAGAUACCCCGGUAC
rnacentral:rRNA from 1 species